GAUGAACGCUGGCGGCGUGCUUAACACAUGCAAGUCGAACGGAAAGGCCCAAGCUUGCUUGGGUACUCGAGUGGCGAACGGGUGAGUAACACGUGGGUGAUCUGCCCUGCACUUCGGGAUAAGCCUGGGAAACUGGGUCUAAUACCGGAUAGGACGAUGGUUUGGAUGCCAUUGUGGAAAGUUUUUUCGGUGUGGGAUGAGCUCGCGGCCUAUCAGCUUGUUGGUGGGGUAAUGGCCUACCAAGGCGUCGACGGGUAGCCGGCCUGAGAGGGUGUACGGCCACAUUGGGACUGAGAUACGGCCCAGACUCCUACGGGAGGCAGCAGUGGGGAAUAUUGCACAAUGGGCGCAAGCCUGAUGCAGCGACGCCGCGUGGGGGAUGACGGCCUUCGGGUUGUAAACUCCUGUCGCUAGGGACGAAGCGUUUUUGUGACGGUACCUGGAGAAGAAGCACCGGCUAACUACGUG
rnacentral:rRNA from 1 species